UACGGGGGAGCAAGCGUUGUUCGGAUUUACUGGGCGUAAAGGGCGCGUAGGCGGCCAGCACAAGUCAGUUGUGAAAUCUCCGAGCUUAACUCGGAAAGGUCAACUGAUACUGUGCGGCUAGAGUGCGGAAGGGGCAACUGGAAUUCUUGGUGUAGCGGUGAAAUUCGUAGAUAUCGGGAGGAACACCGGUGGCGAAGGCGGCGACCUGGGUCGAUACUGACGCUGAUGCGCGAAAGCGUGGGGAGCAACAGG
rnacentral:rRNA from 1 species